ACAUCGGUUUCACAGUGGUCAGGGCAAUCUGUCGGAAACAGAAAGACGCGGGUUCAAUUCCCGUCCGAUGUC
rnacentral:tRNA from 1 species